GUGCCAGCCGCCGCGGUAAGACAGAGGGUGCAAACGUUGUUCGGAAUCACUGGGCGUAAAGCGCGUGUAGGCGGCCAGACAAGUCGGGUGUGAAAGCCCACGGCUCAACCGUGGAAGGGCACUCGAAACUGCUUGGCUAGAGUCCUGGAGAGGAAGGUGGAAUACUCGGUGUAGAGGUGAAAUUCGUAGAUAUCGAGUGGAACACCGGUGGCGAAGGCGGCCUUCUGGACAGUGACUGACGCUGAGACGCGAAAGCGUGGGGAGCAAACAGGAUUAGAAACCCUCGUAGUCC
rnacentral:rRNA from 1 species